GAUGAACGCUGGCGGCGUGCCUAAUACAUGCAAGUCGAGCGAACAGACGAGGAGCUUGCUCCUCUGACGUUAGCGGCGGACGGGUGAGUAACACGUGGAUAACCUACCUAUAAGACUGGGAUAACUUCGGGAAACCGGAGCUAAUACCGGAUAAUAUAUUGAACCGCAUGGUUCAAUAGUGAAAGACGGUUUUGCUGUCACUUAUAGAUGGAUCCGCGCCGCAUUAGCUAGUUGGUAAGGUAACGGCUUACCAAGGCAACGAUGCGUAGCCGAACUGAGAGGGUGAUCGGCCACACUGGAACUGAGACACGGUCCAGACUCCUACGGGAGGCAGCAGUAGGGAAUCUUCCGCAAUGGGCGAAAGCCUGACGGAGCAACGCCGCGUGAGUGAUGAAGGUCUUCGGAUCGUAAAACUCUGUUAUUAGGGAUGAACAAAUGUGUAAGUAACUAUGCACGUCUUGACGGUACCUAAUCAGAAAGCCACGGCUAACUACGUG
rnacentral:rRNA from 1 species